AGGAAGUACGCGUUUAUAUCAGCGUCCCAAGGCAAACUUUUGGCAGUGUUUGAACAGUUGUUGAGAAGAGAGGCUUCCUUGAGGUUUAUGGCCCCUUGCAUGGGUUUGACUUUGUAGGCCAGGUGCCGCUCCGCUCCGCGUUGAACCCCAGCGCGUGUUUUCCAGCGCGCCUCUGCAGUGAGACACGCAGCCGGCUCGACGCGCAAGCCGUCUUUCUGCUCCUGGAUCGAGCUUCACUUCCCGCAGUAAUACGAAACGAGUGGAAUUGCACUCAAGUUUUUUGAAAACGACUGAGUGUGCGGAAAGUCCCGUCCCGGUCCCGCAAACGGGCGCUCAGAGGUAAACGGGUCGGGCCAUCGCGGCGACGAAGAGGCGCGGGACUCUGAUUUAAACGCGCAUUCAUUGCGCUCUGCCCGAAACCGAGUGUUGCAUGGAGCGGGACAACCCCAGCUGUUGGAAACGACGAAAUGCUCCUUUUUAAUGUGCCCUGGGUGCUCGCUUUUCUCAGCUUUCCAUAUUCGUAGGCCUAAUGUGGGUUUGUGGACUGCGCGGAUCUGCGAUCUACCUGAGCGCGCGAUGAAAGUCUUUGUGCGCUGAUUUAGAGGUGACUUAGAAACCCUCGCUUUUUAUUGCGUCAGUAGAUCUGCUGGGACUGUUCCUCAAUCUAUGGAUGGAUGCAGGGACUAAAAUUAACACCUGCCAAGCACCAAAUACGGAGCAUGAAUGGUGAAAGGUGGAGAGCGGCAUAUUGCUGAUGUCUGCGUGGCCUGCAUACUGUCUAGAUCCUCUUUACAAUCUGAACUAUUGUCCAGCAUCUGGAGACGCUCUUGAAUAACCAACAUGGCUACUUCACUGUGGAAACGUCCCUUGGUGCAUGGGCUUGUGUUAGCCGUGAUUUUUAUACAAACUUCAGAAGUGAUCUACCUGCGUCACUUUGCUGUCCUUCACAAAUCCUCUCCCAUGGCCUCAUGGGAUAGUAAAGUGUCCUUUGGAUUAGGACCGUAACCAUCAUAGACAUUGAGGAGGACAAGCCCCCCCCCCAAUAACUACUAAUGGCCAGACUACCCAAUAUCUGAAAGUCUUGCACUGAUCUGCUGAACUCCAUUACGCAGCACGCUGUUUUUAGGAUGACAAAAAGUGUCAUUUUUAGGCUGGUCACAGUAUCAGAGCGUGACUUCCAGCGCAAAGCAUCAGUUUAAUGUUGAAAGAGAUUUGACAAGGUUUUUGAAGUUGCAAAUCAUUUUAAUACUAGUCAACUGUUUUAUGAUAGAAAUGUUAAAUGGCUGACAGCUAU